rnacentral:rRNA from 1 species
AACGAACGCUGGCGGCAUGCCUAACACAUGCAAGUCGAACGAGACCUUCCGGUCUAGUGGCGCACGGGUGCGUAACGCGUGGGAACCUGCCCUUAGGUUCGGAAUAACUCCCCGAAAGGGGUGCUAAUACCGGAUAAUGUCUUCCGACCAAAGAUUUAUCGCCUUUGGAUGGGCCCGCGUUGGAUUAGCCAGUUGGUAGGGUAAAAGCCUACCAAGGCCACGAUCCCUAGCUGGUCUGAGAGCAGGAUCAGCCACACUGGGACUGAGACACGGCCCAGACUCCUACGGGAGGCAGCAGUGGGUAAUAUUGGACAAUGGGCGAAAGCCUGAUCCAGCAACGCCGCGUGAGUGAUGAAGGCCUUAGGGUUGUAAAGCUCUUUUACCCGGGAUGAUAAUGACAGUACCGGGAGAAUAAGCUCCGGCUAACUCCGUG